rnacentral:rRNA from 1 species
UGCCCCAGUAACGGCGAGUGAAGCGGCAACAGCUCAAAUUUGAAAUCUGGUCCUCGCGGGCCCGAGUUGUAAUUUGCAGAGGAUGCUUUUGGCGAGGCGACCACAAAGUUCCCUGGAACGGGACGCCGUAGAGGGUGAGAGCCCCGUACGUUCGGUUGCCGAGCCUGUGUAAAGCUCCUUCGACGAGUCGAGUAGUUUGGGAAUGCUGCUCUAAAUGGGAGGUAAACCCCUUCUAAAGCUAAAUAUUGGCCGGAGACCGAUAGCGCACAAGUAGAGUGAUCGAAAGAUGAAAAGCACUUUGAAAAGAGAGUUAAACAGCACGUGAAAUUGUUGAAAGGGAAGCGCUCGUGACCAGACUUGUGUCCGGCAGCUCAGCCGCCCUUCUGGGCGGUGCACUCUGCCGGCUCAGGCCAGCAUCAGUUUUCGGUUGGGGAGAAAGGCGGUGGGAACGUGGCUCUUCGGAGUGUUAUAGCCCGCCGUUAUACCCUUCUGGGGACUGAGGUACGCGCUCCGCAAGGAUGCUGGCGUAAUGGUUAUCAGCGACCCGUCUUGAAACACGGACCAAGGAGUCGUCCUAAUAUGCAAGUGUUCGGGUGUUAAACCCCUACGCGUAAUGAAAGUGAACGGAGGUGAGAGCUUCGGCGCAUCAUCGACCGAUCCUGAUGUUUUCGGAUGGAUUUGAGUAUGAGCAUAUUGGGCCGGACCCGAAAGAAGGUGAACUAUGCCUGUAUAGGGUAAAGCCAGAGGAAACUCUGGUGGAGGCUCGCAGCGGUUCUGACGUGCAAAUCGAUCGUCAAAUAUGGGCAUGGGGGCGAAAGACUAAUCGAACCUUCUAGUAGCUGGUUUCCGCCGAAGUUUCCCUCAGGA